GCCCAAGAGAUCGGGAUAACACCUGGAAACAGAUGCUAAUACCGGAUAACAACAGAUGAUGCCUAUCAACUGUUUAAAAGAUGGUUCUGCUAUCACUCUUGGAUGGACCUGCGGUGCAUUAGCUAGUUGGUAGGGUAACGGCCUACCAAGGCGAUGAUGCAUAGCCGAGUUGAGAGACUGAUCGGCCACAUUGGGACUGAGACACGGCCCAAACUCCUACGGGAGGCAGCAGAA
rnacentral:rRNA from 1 species